UCGGUGAAAAAGUUAUAUGACUAUUUUGGAGUGCUCUUGAAGUUUGCCAUAGUUCUAUGAAUUCGACGGUAUAGUACAACAUCAUCAUUACCCGAGGAAGGGUAUCAGGCGUAAGUGAGUGAACUUGCAUUUACAUUGUAUUUGUGGUUUAUUACCAAAGUUGUGGGAUUUGAAGUUAUCAAAGGUUGCCAAAGUUAUUAUUCAUGAAGUUGGUUAUCUCUAGAAAUUUUAUUUAAUGUCUGUAAGUUGUUUUUUCCUUUAUGAUUUAAAUUAAUGAUCGAUGCACUAGUAGUUUAAAAGCCUGUUAGAGCAAGUUUGUUUGUUGAGAUCUUUUAUCUCACACUUGCUAUAUAUAUCUCCUAGGUUGACCUAAGGUUUGCUAGUUUGGAAGGAUUGGGAGUAGCAUCAUUGUUUGCACAUCUUGGAAUCCACACAUAAUGUUUUGUUAUUAGUGUUGUAUGGUGAAGAACAAUGCCUUUUAAUGUUAGUGUAAGGAUACGAUGCUCUACCUUAGUGGGAUGUUUAUUGAUGUGCCUUAUUAUAUACAAUUGUUGUUACUUCUGCUAAAAUCUGCUUUAGUGGUGUUGCUGCUGAGACUUGUUCGCCCAGCAUGUUUGUGGAGUAUUUUAGUGGCAUCUUAGGUAUUAUUUUUACCUAUGUGUUAUAAGUGUCUUGAACCCCUAUCCUGCCAUAGAUGGAGUAGGGAGAGAUGAAGGAACCUGAAGAUUUAUUAUUCGGAUACGUCGUACCGUACCUUCCGUGCCAAUGGUACAAUUAUAAUUGGGACCUUCAGUCUCCAAUUUAUAAAUAUUGAGCCUCUGGUAUUGUAAUUAAG
rnacentral:lncRNA from 1 species